rnacentral:ribozyme from 1 species
GCUUUCAAACAAGAGGCAAAAGAUAGCUUAAUAUUAGUUUUUAUUGUUUUAUUAAAAUUAAGACAAUAAAAUAAAAUCACACAAAAUUGCAACAUAAAACUAUUUAUGCUGUUGCAUGUUAUUAC